rnacentral:ncRNA from 1 species
UCAAUAGCGUUGAAAGAGGAAAGUAGAUCUUAGGCGAAACGACAGCGAGCUAAGGACGGUGAGAGCUUAGCUUGAAGUUUAAGAUUGAAGUUCCCUCUGGAGUUGCUGGCUGAAGAAUAAGUAGGCUAAGCCGGAAAUCCUCCGUUAUCUAGGGAAGGGAUAUAAGAGUAGUUUUACUCCGUAUCCUAUAAGAGCGGGUUAACUAUAGCAGUUGACCAAUCAGAAUGGUAACACGAAACCAAACUCUUCGUUUCUGAA